rnacentral:rRNA from 1 species
AUUGAACGCUGGCGGCAGGCCUAACACAUGCAAGUCGAACGGUAACAGGAAGAAGCUUGCUUCUUUGCUGACGAGUGGCGGACGGGUGAGUAAUGUCUGGGAAACUGCCUGAUGGAGGGGGAUAACUACUGGAAACGGUAGCUAAUACCGCAUAACGUCGCAAGACCAAAGAGGGGGACCUUCGGGCCUCUUGCCAUCGGAUGUGCCCAGAUGGGAUUAGCUAGUAGGUGGGGUAACGGCUCACCUAGGCGACGAUCCCUAGCUGGUCUGAGAGGAUGACCAGCCACACUGGAACUGAGACACGGUCCAGACUCCUACGGGAGGCAGCAGCGGGGAAUAUUGCACAAUGGGCGCAAGCCUGAUGCAGCCAUGCCGCGUGUAUGAAGAAGGCCUUCGGGUUGUAAAGUACUUUCAGCGGGGAGGAAGGGAGUAAAGUUAAUACCUUUACUCAUUGACGUUACCCGCAGAAGAAGCACCGGCUAACUCCGUG